rnacentral:lncRNA from 1 species
GUGGUGGUGACUAGCAUAGAAGGCGGAGGAGGUCAUUGGAGCCGGCUUCCCUUCCGCUUUGGCUGCCAAGCUCCGCGCGUUGGUGAGUCCCUCUCUCUAUCCCUCUACAUCUCUCCCUCUCUCUGUCAGAGGGCAGCUACCAACCCCGAGGUGCAGGCGGCCAUGGAAAAGCAGAAGAUGCCACACCUAGCUUUCCCCCUUGCCUCCUGCCCUUUCUCUUCAGCUCAUUUAUUUACAUGUGCAAAUUCUCUUUUAUCUAUGCCUGCAAGGUGUUUGAUGAAAGUUCAGUAAGGCUUUGAGGGAAUACCAAACAAGAGAGGAUCCAGUAUCUGUAACAUGCAUCAGGUUGACACCAACUUCAUGCAUUUUGCUUCAAGAUCAUUGUUAAUUUAAUUCAAAAUGUUUUCUCAUUCUAUUGGAAGAUAGAAAGGAUGGUUGUAGAAAGAUAACUGUUCUACUUGGAUACCUUUCUUUGUUCUCGUUUGCAUUUAAGUAAAAAUGUUCAACUGCAGAUAUAGAUUGCCGGCGGGUGGAUAUAUUGCUCAAAAGAUGUCACUAGUGCUGUACUGCUGUAGAUGCCAUUGAUUUCAUAUAUCAAAGCAUUACAGCUCUUUCAGAUCCUUUGUAUUUCCACUUAGUUAGCUUGAAAAUCUUGUCUACUACGGACACCUCUUGAAAAUUGCAAAGGAGUUCUAACUCCCAACAAGCUUAUUUCCUUAAAAAAUGUAACUGGUACAAUGUUCUACGUACCUUAUGAGAGGUCAGCCCCGGCAUCACAGUCCAUUCCUGAAGAAGUUCACAUGCAUGGUGUUGAUUGUUGAGUUUGCUUGGUUAACGGAAUGACAUGCCUAUGCAGAUCAGCAGGGGGAAGGUCCAGGGUGAAACCUUCAGGAGGGAUUUGAUGUUGCUAUUGUUUCAGUUUGCAGAUAGAGGAUGUGAUUCCAGCAAGACAGAGACGAUGGCGAUGACAAGUGAGAUUUAUGUUAAGGAGUAUUAGCAUAUGCUCACAGGAUCACUGGAAGUUUAUAAAUGUAUCCGCAAUGAUUGUUGCUUUCUUAUUGACACAUAAUUGAAUUAUAAUUAUAGACAGUAAGAGUAGUUGUCUUUUCAUUUGUUAGAAAACAUAGUGUACCUUUAUAAUCGUAGUUAUAUGCAAUGAUCCAUCAUGUAUUUUUGUUUAAAACUGCAACCCGUAAUUGUUUGAUGUCAUUAAAUGUCUCUCUCUCUCUCUCUCUN